rnacentral:rRNA from 1 species
CGCAUGCUGGACGUAUCAGAAGUGCGAAUGCUGACAUGAGUAACGAUAAAGGGGGUGAAAAACCUCCUCGCCGGAAGACCAAGGGUUCCUGUCCAACGUUAAUCGGGGCAGGGUAAGUCGACCCCUAAGGCGAGGCCGAAAGGCGUAGUCGAUGGGAAACGGGUUAAUAUUCCCGUACUUCUUACAAUUGCGAUGGGGGGACGGAGAAGGCUAGGUGGGCCUGGCGACGGUUGUCCAGGUUCAAGUGCGUAGGCUUAAGAGUUAGGUAAAUCCGGCUCUUUUUAAGGCUGAGACACGACGUCGAGCACCUACGGGUGUGAAGUCAUUGAUGCCAUGCUUCCAGGAAAAGCCUCUAAGCUUCAGAUUGUAAGGAAUCGUACCCCAAACCGACACAGGUGGUCGGGUAGAGAAUACCAAGGCGCUUGAGAGAACUCGGGUGAAGGAACUAGGCAAAAUGGUACCGUAACUUCGGGAGAAGGUACGCUCUUGAUGGUGAAGUCCCUCGCGGAUGGAGCUGACGAGAGUCGCAGAUACCAGGUGGCUGCAACUGUUUAUUAAAAACACAGCACUGUGCAAAAUCGUAAGAUGACGUAUACGGUGUGACGCCUGCCCGGUGCCGGAAGGUUAAUUGAUGGGGUUAGACUUCGGUCGAAGCUCUUGAUCGAAGCCCCGGUAAACGGCGGCCGUAACUAUAACGGUCCUAAGGUAGCGAAAUUCCUUGUCGGGUAAGUUCCGACCUGCACGAAUGGCGUAAUGAUGGCCACGCUGUCUCCACCCGAGACUCAGUGAAAUUGAAAUCGCUGUGAAGAUGCAGUGUACCCGCGGCUAGACGGAAAGACCCCGUGAACCUUUACUACAGCUUGGCACUGAACAUUGACCCUACAU